GAUGAACGCUGGCGGCGUGCCUAAUACAUGCAAGUCGAACGAGCUCUUCGGAGCUAGUGGCGGACGGGUGAGUAACACGUUGGUACCUACCCCGAAGUGGGGAAUAACUGGCCGAAAGGUCGGCUAAUACCGCAUAAUACCGUAAGGUUAAAGCAGUAAUGCGCUUCGGGAGGGGCCUGCGUCCCAUUAGCUUGUUGGUAGUGUAAUGGACUACCAAGGCGACGAUGGGUAGCUGGAUCGAGAGGUUGACCAGCCACACUGGGACUGAGAUACAGCCCAGACUCCUACGGGAGGCAGCAGUAAGGAAUCUUCCACAAUGGACGAAAGUCUGAUGGAGCAACGCCGCGUGCAGGAUGACGGCCUUCGGGUUGUAAACUGCUUUUAUAUGGGAAGAUUAUGACGGUACCAUAUGAAUAAGGACCGGCUAACUACGUGCCAGCAGCCGCGGUAA
rnacentral:rRNA from 1 species